rnacentral:rRNA from 1 species
UGUCUACAGCCACACCACCCUGCACACGCCCGAUCUCUGAUCUCGAAACUAAGCAGGGUCUAGCCUGGUUAGUACUUGCAUGGGAGAAAAAGGGAAGAAAUAGGACAGUUACAA